rnacentral:tRNA from 1 species
CACUAGAUGACUGAAAGUAAGUAAUGGUCUCUUAAACCAAGAAAUAGUAAAUUAACAUAUACUUCUAGUG